UAUGGUAAUUGUGUGCCAGCCUCCGCUUUACUACGUAGGUGGCAAGCGUUGUCCGGAAUUAUUGGGCGUAAAGCGCGCGCAGGCGGCUUCUUAAGUCCAUCUUAAAAGUGCGGGGCUUAACCCCGUGAUGGGAUGGAAACUGGGAGGCUGGAGUAUCGGAGAGGAAAGUGGAAUUCCUAGUGUAGCGGUGAAAUGCGUAGAGAUUAGGAAGAACACCGGUGGCGAAGGCGACUUUCUGGACGACAACUGACGCUGAGGCGCGAAAGCGUGGGGAGCAAACAGG
rnacentral:rRNA from 1 species